GGGUGUGAUGGUGAGCUGGUGGUGACAUUUGUCACCACAUUAAUUGCUAGGGUUGAUUCAGCUGAUCUGGCUGGCUAAGUAAGUGUCCCCUUCCUCCCUCACCAAUCCAUGCUCACCCUUCCUAAGCUGCCUAUCUGAUGGAAGAGAAAGACCCUCCCUUUAGUCAAGGGUAUACGAGCAGCUAUGCUCCCCUGCUAGAACCUCCAAACAAGCUCUCAGACAUUGAAGUUGCUUAUUUGUGUAUGAUGAGUGGUUUCUUUUGUUAAUGAAUCCUUUGAACCUGAAA
ensembl:misc_RNA 7SK 7SK RNA